GACAGAGGGUGCAAACGUUGUUCGGAAUUACUGGGCGUAAAGCGCGUGUAGGCGGCCAUCUAAGUCGGGCGUGAAAUCCCACGGCUCAACCGUGGAAGUGCACUCGAAACUGGAUGGCUAGAGUCCUGGAGAGGAAGGUGGAAUGCUUGGUGUAGAGGUGAAAUGCGUAGAUAUCUGGAGGAACACCGGUGGCGAAGGCGGCAUCCUGGACCGGCAUUGACGCUGAGGCGCGAAAGCCAGGGGAGCAAAGCGGG
rnacentral:rRNA from 1 species